AGUCGAACGAUAACCCUAUUCCGUGGGCAUUAUUGUCGAGCGGGUGAGUAACAUGUGCGCAAUCUGCCCUUCACUCUGGGACAGGCCCUGGAAACGGCGUCUAAUACCGGAUAACACUCUCUCAGGCAUCUGGGAGGGUUAAAAGCUCCCGUAGUGUUGGAUGGGCCCGCGUCCUAUCAGCUUGUUGGUGAGGUAAUGGCUCACCAAGGCGACGACAGGUAGCCGGCCAGACAGGGCGACCGGGCAACUGGGACUGACACACGGCCCAUACUCCUACGGGAGGAGCAGUGGGGAAUAUUGCACAAUGGGCGAAAGCCUGAUGCAGCGACGCCGCGUGAGGGAUGACGGCCUUCGGGUUGUAAACCUCUUUCAUCAGGGAAGAAACCAACUUGACGGUACCUGCCGAAGAAGCGCCGGCUAACUACAUGCCACCCGCCGCGGAAAUACGUGCGGAGCUACGGUUGUCCGGAAUUAUUGGGCGUUAAGAGCUCGUACGCGGCUUGUCACGUGGGCAGUGAAAGUUGCGCGCUUAACCUUGUUAUCUCCGAGGUCUACAGGCUAGCUCUCAGUGUGGGUAAGGGGAGAUC
rnacentral:rRNA from 1 species